rnacentral:rRNA from 1 species
UCGUACAUAACCUCAGUGGGGUAGGACAACCCGCUAGACUUAAGCAUAUUAAUCAGCGGAGGAAAAGAAACUAACAAGGAUUCCCCCAGUAACUGCGAGUGAAGAGGGAACGGCUCAACGUGUGAAUCUGGCCGGGAGUAACCCUCGGUCCAGAGUUGUGCACUGUAGACGUCGGUUUCUGCGCUUGAAUUCCAGUUGUCAGUCCCAAGUCGGAUGAAACACCGCGUCACAGAAGGUCAUAGCCCUGUGUCUGACUGUGCUUGAAUUUGCGCCAAUGACCGCACGUUCGUCGAGUCGCGUAGUUUUGUAAUGCUGCGCCAAUUGGGAGGUGGAACCCUUCUAAAGCUAAAUAUGAUGACGUGACCGAUAGCAAACAAGUACCGCGAGGGAAAGGUGAAAAGCAACCAUGUAGAAUGCGUUGAAACAGCAGUGAAAGUGCUACUGGGAUAAGGGCUAUCGACUGCUGGUCUCUUGGCGGCGUGCUUCAGUGCUGCCCCGGGAGCGGCUCGCGCCGAUUGGAAACG